AGACCGAUAGCGAACAAGUACCGAGACCGAUAGCGAACAAGAACUUUGNAAAAGAGAGUUAAACAGUACGUGAAAUUGUUAAAAGGGAACCGUUUGGAGCCAGACCGGCUUUAUCGUAAUCAAUCUAGGUUUCGACCUGGAUGCACUUGCGGUAGAUUUGCCUGCCAACGACAGUUUUUUUUGAGGGAAAAAACUAGGAGGAAUGUGGCCCUUAACUUGUUAGGGGUGUUAUAGCCUUUUAGAAAAUACCUUGAAUUGGACUGAGGAACGCAGCGAAUGCUCUUUAGGGCGAAAUAGUUGAGUGCUUUGGCUGAUAGAUGCUAGAAUUUCUGCUUCGGGUGGUGCUAGUGUUUAAAGGUUAAACUCGCUUGAUUCAUUUUUUAUUCGCUUAGGUUGUUGGCGUUAAUGACUCUAAAUGACCCGUCUUGAAACACGGACCAAG
rnacentral:rRNA from 1 species